rnacentral:misc_RNA from 1 species
GAAAUGCGAUAAGUAAUGUGAAUUGCAGAAUUCAGUGAAUCAUCGAAUCUUUGAACGCACAUUGCGCCCGCCAGCACUCUGGCGGGCAUGCCUGUUCGAGCGUCAUUUCAACCCUCAGAACCCCUUGCGGGAUCUGGCGUUGGGGAUUGGCAUCCAGCCAGCCCCGAAAUCUAGUGGCGGUCCCUCCGCGACCUCCCCUGUGCAGUAGCGAUACCUCGCAGCGGGACAGCGGUCUGACCACGCCGUAAAACCCCCAACUUCUCAAGGUUGACCUCGAAUCAGGUAGGAAUACCCACUAGACUUAAGC